ensembl:lncRNA
AACCACUGCGCCACGACGGGAACUCCCAGAUUCUUAACCCACUAAUCUACGACGGGAACUCCCUGAUUCACCUUUUUUUUUUUUCUUUUCUUUUUAUGGUUGCACCUGUGGCAUAUGGAAGUUCACAGGCCACAGGUUGAAUCAGAGCUGCAGCUGCCAGCCUACAACACAGCCACAGCAACACUGGAUCCUUAACCCAAUGAGCAAGGCCGGAGAUCAAAUGCACACACAUCCUCACAGAGACAACAUUGGGUCCUUAACCUACUGAGCCACAACAGGAACUCCCCUGAUUCAUCUUCAUGUCUUUUUUUUCUAGGGCUGCACCCGGGGCAUAUGGAGGUUCCCAGGCUAGGGGUCCAAUUAGAGCUGUAGCCGCUGGCCUACGCCAGAGCCACAGCAAUGUGGGAUCUGAGCUGAGUCUACGACCUACACCACAGCUCGAGGCAACGCCAGAUCCUUAACCCACUGAGUGAGGCCAGGGAUCGAACCCACAACCUCAUGGUUCCUAGUUGGCUUCGUUAACCACUGAGCCACAAUGGGAACUCCUCAUCUUCAUAUCUUAAGCCCUAGCAGUUAGCUUGGCCUUGAGUACUUACUGAUUCUAUGAAUGAGUGGAAUCCAACCAAUGAGGUGAUGCCUUCCCUGGGCUUGUGAGGCACUCUGACUGCCCACUUUUUUUUUUCUUUUUUUCUUUUUUAGGGUCUGCAGAUCAGAGCUGCAGCUGCUGACCUACCCCACAGCCAGCAAUGCAGGAUUCAAGCUAAGUCUGCAGCCUACACCACAUCUCACAGCAAUGCCGGAUCCUUAACCCACUGAUCAGGGCCAAGGAUCAAACCCACGUCCUCGUGGGUAUUAUUUUGGUUCCUUACCGCUGAGCCAUGGGAACUCAUGUCUUCCCCUAUUUUCUUUGCAGAAUCCUGAGGCUCAAGAUGCAACCUGUUCCCACCUCAGCCCCAGGAAAAUUUUCAGGGCCGAGGCGGCGGCGGCGCUCAGGGGAGGAGGAUGCGCAGGACCGCAUCUGGCCUUCAAGGAGGCUGAAAGAGCGGGAAACGGCCAACUGCAGGCCCGGGAUGAACUGUGAGACAGGCUUGUGAAGUCCGUCGGGGGUGAGAGAGGGACUCACCUGGGGAGUCAGGCUGGGGCAGGAGAGAGGUGUCCGAAGUCGCCGCUGUCUUUCGGAGGUGUGUGUAGCCAGGGGCUGCAGCCCCGUGCCAGCAGUGGCUGGUGCUGUCUUCUUCCUCCGCGGGGUGUUCAGACACGUCCUAGGACGCCCAGACCAGGGACCACCUCGGUUUAUUUUAGACAGAGAGACCGA